rnacentral:rRNA from 1 species
AGCAACCAGCAGAUUUACUUCGGUAAUGACGCUGGGGACGCGAGCGGCGGAUGGGUGAGUAACACGUGGGGAACCUGCCCCAUAGUCUAGGAUACCACUUGGAAACAGGUGCUAAUACCGGAUAAUAAAGCAGAUCGCAUGAUCAGCUUAUAAAAGGCGGCGUAAGCUGUCGCUAUGGGAUGGCCCCGCGGUGCAUUAGCUAGUUGGUAAGGUAACGGCUUACCAAGGCAAUGAUGCAUAGCCGAGUUGAGAGACUG